UCACACAAGAGACCCAAAUUAACUAUACUACCGGCGUAAAGAGUGGUAAUAUGCUAUCCCAACAACUAAGAUCAAAACACAACUGAGCCGUCAUAAGCCCAAGAUAUGUCUAAAACCACCCUCAAGACGAUCUUAGCACCCACGACCAAUUUAAAUCCACGAAAGCUAGGACACAAACUGGGAUUAGAUACCCCACUAUGCCUAGCCCUAAAUCAAAGUACUUACCAAACCCAAGUACUCGCCCGAGAACUACGAGCACAAACGCUUAAAACUCUAAGGACUUGGCGGUGCCCCAAACCCACCUAGAGGAGCCUGUUCUAUAAUCGAUAACCCACGAUUCACCCAACCACCCCUCGCCAACACAGCCUACAUACCGCCGUCGCCAGCUCACCUCCCCUGAGAGCCCAACAGUGAGCUAAGCAGUUACCCCACUAGCAAGACAGGUCAAGGUAUAGCCCAUGGGGUGGAAGAAAUGGGCUACAUUUUCUACUACUAGAACAAACUUUACGAAAAGGGAUCUGAAACCAUCCCUAGAAGGAGGAUUUAGCAGUAAAGUAAGACAAUAGAGCCUACUUUAAACCGGCUCUGGGACACGUACAUACCGCCCGUCACCCUCCUCACAAGCUAAAAUAGACCAUAUAAAUAAUCUGCCAAACAGCCAAAGAUGAGGUAAGUCGUAACAA
rnacentral:rRNA from 1 species